CAUAGCGACUAUCGUGGCAUAUCAAUAAGCGGAGGAAAAGAAACUAACAAGGAUUCCCUUAGUAACGGCGAGUGUAAGCGGGAAGAGCUCAAAUUUGAAAUCUUCAAGGUUUUACCUUGACGAAUUGUAGUUUAUAGAAGUGUUUUCUGUUAGUAGAGUGGCAGAAGUUCUUUGGAAUAGGACAUCAUAGAGGGUGAGAAUCCCGUAUUUGGUCAUUCCUUCCUAGCUUUGUGAUACACUUUCAACGAGUCGGAUUGUUUGGGAAUGCAGUCCAUAAAUGGGUGGUAAAUUUCAUCCUAAAGCUAAAUAUUGGCGAGAGACCGAUAGCGAACAAGUACCGUGAGGGAAAGAUGAAAAGAACUUUGAAAAGAGAGUUAAACAGUACGUGAAAUUGUCAAAAGGGAAGCGUUUGACACCAGUGUUGUUUUUCCGAAAAUCAAUUACGAAUGUUUUAUUUUUGAGAAGUUAUGACUUCAGUCGGCUUGCUUCUCUCUUUAUGAAACUUUCUUAAUGCACUUUUCGGUUAACAAGUCAACAUCAAUUUCUUUUAGUUGUAAAAGGGUAUGAGGAAGGUGGCCUUUCUUUUCGGAGAAAGUGUUUAUAGCCUUGUACCUCUGCAAUCGGAGAGAUUGAGGUCUGCAGCGUAGAUCCUUCGGGGUUAGAUACAUUUGUGCUAAGUUAUAGCUUUUCAUAGACAACUUGUUGACUAUGUUUAGUCUUGUAGCUUACUCGCUUAUGCUAUUUUACCUACGCUUAGGAUGUUGAUAGUCACAGCGUGUAC
rnacentral:rRNA from 1 species